GUAGGUGGCAAGCGUUGUCCGGAAUUAUUGGGGCGUAAAGCGCGCGCAGGCGGUUCUUUAAGGCUGAUGUGAAAGCCCACGGGCUCAACCGUGGAGGGUCAUUGGAAACUGGAGAACUUGAGUACAGAAGAGGAAAGCGGAAUUCCACGUAUAGCGGUGAAAUGCGUAGAGAUGUGGAGGAACACCAGUGGCGAAGGCGGCUUUCUGGUCUGUAACUGACGCUGAGGCGCGAAAGCGUGGGGAGCAAACAGGAUUAGAUACCCUGGUAGUCCACGCCGUAAACGAUGAGUGCUAAGUGUUAGGGGGUUUCCGCCCCUUAGUGCUGCAGCUAACGCAUUAAGCACUCCGCCGUGGGGAGUACGGCCGCAAAGGCUG
rnacentral:rRNA from 1 species